rnacentral:misc_RNA from 1 species
AACGCACGAGACCUGCGGACCUGCGGAAGGAUCAUUACCGAGCCCUACCCCUUGGGUAGAUCUCCCACCCACUGUGAUCACUACGCUCGUUGCCUUGGCGGGUAGCCGGUCUACCCGCCAGAGGACCCCCGAGACCCUGGAUGUCGGUGUUGUCCGAGUACAGUUUACAGCGAUUAAAACUUUUAACAACGGAUCUCU